rnacentral:rRNA from 1 species
AAUACGUUCCCGGACCUUGCACACACCGCCUGUCAAGCCAUGGAAGCUGGGUGUACCUAAAGUCGGUAACCGUAAGGAGCCGCCUAGGGUAAAACUAGUGACUGGGGCU